rnacentral:rRNA from 1 species
UACGAAGGGGGCUAGCGUUGUUCGGAAUUACUGGGCGUAAAGCGCGCGCAGGCGGUUCUUUAAGUCAGGGGUGAAAGCCCAGAGCUCAACUCUGGAAUUGCCUUUGAAACUAGAGAACUUGGGUACGGGAGAGGAGAGUGGAAUUCCCGGUGUAGCGGUGAAAUGCGCAGAUAUCGGGAAGAACACCCGUGGCGAAGGCGGCUCUCUGGGACGGUACUGACGCUGAGACGCGAAAGCGUGGGGAGCGAACAGG